rnacentral:lncRNA from 1 species
UGUAACAUGUGUGUAAAAGUCUUCUCAGAUUUCCUUUCCGUUUCUUUUCUGCAGAGAACUUCACAACCCUGAAGCCAGAGGCUAAAUCUGAUGAGCUUAGCAGCUUGGGCACCGCGGCCACAGCCAUUUCUGGCUCUGUCGGUGUUGUGGCUCUCAUCUUGCUCCUGGUGGGUCUCUUGUCCAUGACCCUGAAGAAGUGGAGACAUGAGAGACUGUUUCAGAAACAGCUGAGGCACCAGACCGACUUUCUCCAUAAAACUUCGGAGAUUUCCUGCCAUGCUGAUGCCAUAUAUUCCAACGUGAUCAACCUGGAUCCCUGGAAAGAGGACGACUUUGCUGUCUAUGGCAACGUGCCCCCUUUCGAUCGCCCCAGGAAGACGUCCCCAGACCGAGUGGAAUAUGCCUCCAUUGUAUUCCGCUGAUGGGAGGCUGGCGACAUGCUUCAGACAACGAAGCCUUCUAACGCCUGCUUCGGGGAUAGACGCUCCCAUGGCCACCCGCACCACCCCCUUGGGUCACCACUGUCGGCUCUCCAUCUCAGCCCUUCGGUUACUGUGCUCAGCCUUUGCCAAAUAAACUAAUUUCCCCGAGUCCAGGCUUUCUCAUCUGUAAAACGGAAAUACUAAUGGCUACUUCAACAGGUGCCGUCUGAUGAUGUUACAUGAAAAUAUUCUAUAAACUAAAAGAUGCUA